GUCCACGCCCUAAACGAUGUCAACUGGUUGUUGGACGGCUUGCUGUUCAGUAACGAAGCUAACGCGUGAAGUUGACCGCCUGGGGAGUACGGCCGCAAGGUUGAAACUCAAAGGAAUUGACGGGUACCCGCACAAGCGGUGGAUGAUGUGGUUUAAUUCGAUGCAACGCGAAAACCUUACCUACCCUUGACAUGUCUGGAAUUCUGCAGAGAUGUGGAAGUGCUCGAAAGAGAACCAGAACACAGGUGCUGCAUGGCCGUCGU
rnacentral:rRNA from 1 species